AAAUUUUAGUAAUUACCAGUGAUGUCGUUAGAAGCCGGCAGCCGGCGAUUUUCGCCGGUUAUUGUCCUUUUCCCGCCGGCUAUUUUUGCAUGAGUAAAAAAAAUUAAUAAGAUAAAAAAGAUAAUCAGGUUAAUAUUAAAAAAUAAUUGUUCAAUGCAUCAGCUUCCACGAUUAAAGUCGCGAUAAACAAGGAUGUAAAUCAGUGUUUACCUUUGACUAAAUAUAGUUCACGUAAAUGCAGUCCGCUGAUUGGUCGUCUAUUUAAAGUCGGUAAGUAUUGUAAUGUUUGCAAG
rnacentral:lncRNA from 1 species